GAUGAACGCUGGCGGCGUGCCUAAUACAUGCAAGUAGAACGCUGAAGGAGGAGCUUGCUCUUCUGGAUGAGUUGCGAACGGGUGAGUAACGCGUAGGUAACCUGCCUGGUAGCGGGGGAUAACUAUUGGAAACGAUAGCUAAUACCGCAUGACUACAGUUAUUGCAUGAUAACUGUUUAAAAGGGGCAACUGCUCCACUACCAGAUGGACCUGCGUUGUAUUAGCUAGUUGGUGAGGUAACGGCUCACCAAGGCGACGAUACAUAGCCGACCUGAGAGGGUGAUCGGCCACACUGGGACGGAGACACGGCCCAGACUCCUACGGGAGGCAGCAGUAGGGAAUCUUCGGCAAUGGACGGAAGUCUGACCGAGCAACGCCGCGUGAGUGAAGAAGGUUUUCGGAUCGUAAAGCUCUGUUGUAAGAGAAGAACGAGUGUGAGAGUGGAAAGUUCACACUGUGACGGUAUCUUACCAGAAAGGGACGGCUAACUACGUG
rnacentral:rRNA from 1 species